rnacentral:rRNA from 1 species
GUAAAACUCUGUUAUUAGGGAAGAACAAAUGUGUAAGUAACUAUGCACGUCUUGACGGUACCUAAUCAGAAAGCCACGGCUAACUACGUGCCAGCAGCCGCGGUAAUACGUAGGUGGCGAGCGUUAUCCGGAAUUAUUGGGCGUAAAGCGCGCGUAGGCGGUUUUUUAAGUCUGAUGUGAAAGCCCACGGCUCAACCGUGGAGGGUCAUUGGAAACUGGAAAACUUGAGUGCAGAAGAGGAAAGUGGAAUUCCAUGUGUAGCGGUGAAAUGCGCAGAGAUAUGGAGGAACACCAGUGGCGAAGGCGACUUUCUGGUCUGUAACUGACGCUGAUGUGCGAAAGCGUGGGGAUCAAACAGGAUUAGAUACCCUGGUAGUCCACGCCGUAAACGAGGAGUGCUAAGUGUUAGGGGGUUUCCGCCCCUUAGUGCUGCAGCUAACGCAUUAAGCACUCCGCCUGGGGAGUACGACCGCAAGGUUGAAACUCAAAGGAAUUGACGG